CCUACGGGCGGCAGCAGUGAGGAAUAUUGGUCAAUGGCCGGAAGGCUGAACCAGCCAAGCCGCGUGAAGGACGAAGGUGCCAAGCAUUGUAAACUUCUUUUGUCAAGGGAUAAAAUCAGGCACGAGAGCCUGACUGUGGGUACUUGAAGAAAAAGCAUCGGCUAACUCCGUGCCAGCAGCCGCGGUAAUACGGAGGAUUGGAGCGUUAAUCGGAAUUAUUGGGUGUAAAGGGUGCGCAGGCGGGAGAGCAAGUCAGCGGUGAAAUCCUAUGGCUUAACCCUGCCCCUGCAUUUGAAACUGUGUCCCUUGAGUGCGGGAAGGGUAGGCGGAAUGCUUGGUGUAGCGGUGAAAUGCGUAGAUAUCACGCGGAACUCUGAUCGCGAAGGCGGCCUACCGGAGCACAACUGACGCUCAUGCGCGAAAGCGUGGGUAGCGAACAGGAUUAGAUACCCUUGUAGUC
rnacentral:rRNA from 1 species